rnacentral:rRNA from 1 species
UACGAAGGGGGCUAGCGUUGCUCGGAAUCACUGGGCGUAAAGCGCACGUAGGCGGAUUGCUAAGUCAGGGGUGAAAUCCCCCGGCUUAACCUGGGAACUGCGUCUGAUACUGGAAGGCUUGAGUAUGGGAGAGGGAUGUAGAAUUCCAGGUGUAGCGGUGAAAUGCGUAGAUAUCUGGAGGAACACCGGUGGCGAAGGCGGCAUCCUGGACCAAUACUGACACUGAGGAGCGAAAGCCAGGGGAGCAAACGGG